rnacentral:rRNA from 1 species
UCCGUAGGUGAACCUGCGGAAGGAUCAUUACCAAAACAAAGCGAACUUGGCCCCAGGGCCUUGAGAGCUUCAACCAUUUGUGAACCAAACCUUUAUUUUCGCUUCGGCAGCAAUGGCUUCCGCCGUGUCAGCCUGCCGUUAGCACCCAACCAAAACUUGCAGUAUCUCAUGUCUGAAAUCAAAUUUUUGAAUUAAAUCAAAACUUUCAACAACGGAUCUCUUGGUUCCCGCAUCGAUGAAGAACGCAGCGAAACGCGAUAGUUAAUGUGAAUUGCAGAAUUCAGUGAAUCAUCGAGUCUUUGAACGCAUAUUGCGCCCAUUGGUAUUCCAUUGGGCAUGUCUGUUUGAGCGUCAUUUCAAACCCUCGACUUAGGUCGGUUUUGAGCUGGCUUAACGGGUGCAAACCCAAGCCGGUUUUAAAGUUGUAGGCUUUGCUGACAGCUGCUCCAAACCAAAAACAUAGUAAAACAUACUUGUUCUAGGUGGGGUGGUUCCAGCCUUGAAAAUGACACUUGUGGUUUGACCUCAGAUCAGAUAAGGAUACCCGCUGAACUUAAGCAUAUCAAUAAGCGGAGGA